rnacentral:rRNA from 1 species
GACGAACGCUGGCGGCGUGCCUAACACAUGCAAGUCGAACGGAAAGGCCCUGCUUGUGUGGUGUGCGGGAGUGGCGAACGGGUGAGUAACACGUGAGUAACCUGCUCUUGUCUUUGGGAUAACGUCAGGAAACUUGGGCUAAUAGCGGAUAGGAGCUCCCGCUGCUGGGUGGGGGUGGGAUAGUUUCGGCGGUUGGGGUUGGACUCGCGGCUGAUCAGCUUGUUAGUGGGGUAGUGGCUUACCAAGGCUUUCACGGGUAGCCGGCCUGGGAGGGUGACCGGCCACAUUAGGACUGAGAUACGGCCCAGCCUCCUACGUGAGGCAGCGGUGGGGAAUAUUGCACAAUGGGAGGGAGCCUGAUGCAGCACCGCCGCGUGGGGGAUGCCGGCCUUCGGGUUGUAAACCGCUUUCGCCUGUGACGAAGCGUGAGUGACGGUAAUGGGUAAAUAAGCACCGGCUAACUACGUG